GCCUGGGUGGCUUAGUGGUUGAGCGCCUGCCUUUGGCUCAGGUCGUGAUCCCGCGGUCCUGGGAUCGAGUCCCACGUCGGGCU
rfam:Canis lupus familiaris chromosome X, whole genome shotgun sequence.